CUAAGGAUGAUCCUUCAAGGCUUUCUCACGAUGGCCUUAUCGGAUCUCUUAGAUCAUUCGGGCCGAUCAGGUGCCUUGUGCAUCGAUCAGGCCUUUGGCGGGAUAUCGCCGUCUUCGUCUCUCUUUCUUCCGCGGAUGAGUUCAGCUGCAAGGUCGUCUUGUGUCUGGUUUGCGCUUUUGGCGUGACUGGAUGGUAGACGGGCCCGUAGCUCAGUUGGUUAGAGCGCACGCCUGAUAAGCGUGAGGUCGGUAGUUCGAGUCUACCCGGGCCCACCAUCACCUGCGCUCAGCUACGCAAACCUGGUUGGUUUGGUUCGUUUGAACCAUGUCUUGACGGGGCCAUAGCUCAGCUGGGAGAGCGCCUGCUUUGCAAGCAGGAUGUCGUCGGUUCGAUCCCGUCUGGCUCCACCAAGACCUUCUUUUUGUUACCAGGUUUUGGCAGUUUUGAUGGUGGAUCGCUUGGCGAGCCACUUCCUCAUCCGCAUUAAACAGUUUUGUCACCGGGACAGCAUGCUUUGCAUGUCUGGAUUGGUCGACAUGUUAUCUGACAUCGUAAAGAGAAGAUUCAUUCCGAGUGUCCCUCAUCAGGACACGUCCCCAGAUCUGCAGGCUUGACCGCAUGCAAUCGGGAUGGAUCUCGAAGAAACUGGUUUUAACGUCAUCGAUGUUGUCCCGCGCCGAGCGGGAUGAGCAUCGAUAAUGAGAGUG
rnacentral:tRNA from 1 species